CCUACGGGAGGCAGCAGUGAGGAAUAUUGGUCAAUGGCCGGAAGGCUGAACCAGCCAUGCCGCGUGAAGGUCAGUGCCCUAUGGGCGUUAAACUUCUUUUGUGCGGGAGCAAUAAUGGUCACGUGUGGCCAGACGAGAGUACCGUACGAAUAAGCAUCGGCUAACUCCGUGCCAGCAGCCGCGGUAAUACGGGGGAUGCAAGCGUUAUCCGGAUUUAUUGGGUUUAAAGGGUGCGUAGGCUGUGAGGUAAGUCAGCGGUGAAAUGCCCCCGCUCAACGGGGUGAAGUGCCAUUGAUACUGCCUGGCUGGAAUGCGGAUGACGUGGGAGGAAUGUGUGGUGUAGCGGUGAAAUGCAUAGAUAUCACACAGAACACCGAUUGCGAAGGCAUCUCACGAAUCCGCGAUUGACGCUGAUGCACGAAAGCGUGGGUAUCAAACAGGAUUAGAUACCCUUGUAGUC
rnacentral:rRNA from 1 species